UAAUACGGAGGGUGCAAGCGUUAUCCGGAUUUACUGGGUUUAAAGGGUGUGUAGGCGGCUAUAUAAGUCAGGGGUGAAAUCCCGAGGCUCAACCUCGGAACUGCCUUUGAUACUAUAUAGCUUGAAUUAUGUUGAGGUUGGCGGAAUAUAACAUGUAGCGGUGAAAUGCAUAGAUAUGUUAUAGAACACCGAUUGCGAAGGCAGCUGGCUAAACAUAUAUUGACGCUGAGGCACGAAAGCGUGGGUAGCGAACAGGAUUAGAUACCCUGGUAGUCCACGCCCUAAACGAUGAUUACUCGUCAUUUGUGAUACACAAUAAGUGACUAAGCGAAAGCGUUAAGUAAUCCACCUGGGAAGUACGUCCGCAAGGAUG
rnacentral:rRNA from 1 species